UUAUCCCUUUCCUCCGUGCUCCUCUUAUUUUCAUAUCCUCUUUUCUUGUUACACAGACACACGAGAUGUUCGCGGAGCUGUGCUACGAGGCCGAGCUGCUGGAGGUCAGCGGCUAGCCGGAUGCGGUAACGCCGGUGCCGCGACGCCACCGCCCGUGCUACAACGACCAGUGCGUACAGCGAGGCAGUGCUGCAGCCAGGGACGGAGCCAGCAUGUAAGCAUAGGACGAAUCGUCCCUGGCUCCAACGACGCCGUGCUUCAUGCUGAUGCUGCGACAACCGAUGACCUACCGCGAGCCGAUGUUGCGACGCGCUUAUGUGCUGUGAGCCGAUGUUGCGACACUACUCGUGGGAAGCGUCUGGUGCUGCAAGGUCACUCGCCAGCUGGAGCGCCGAUGCUUGCCGAAAGCAUCUCAUGCUACAAGGCCACUCGUCCAUGGGAACGUCGGUGUUGCUCGCCGAAGCAUCCCAUGCUGCAAGGACUGCACCGGAAGUAUCAAGUGUUGCAAGGCGUUCGUCGAUGAGAGCGCCGGUGGUGCGAUGUGCUCGCCGGAAGCAUUCGACACUAGAAAUCGAUGUGCUGCAAGGCGAUGUUGCAUAGCCGUCGGCGAUGUUGCGAGGGAGUGUCAACGGUGAUGUGAUGCGCUGUAAGGAAGGGGCGCACUAUGAGUAAGAGCAUGCUGAAAGCACAUAUAUGCUCCCUUGAUGGUUUUGAUAAUUCAUGACAA